rnacentral:rRNA from 1 species
GUAGGUGGCAAGCGUUGUCCGGAAUUAUUGGGCGUAAAGCGCGCGCAGGUGGUUCUUUAAGUCUGAUGUGAAAGCCCCCGGCUCAACCGGGGAGGGUCAUUGGAAACUGGGGAACUUGAGUGCAGGAGAGGAAAGUGGAAUUCCACGUGUAGCGGUGAAAUGCGUAGAUAUGUGGAGGAACACCAGUGGCGAAGGCGACUUUUCUGGCCUGUAACUGACACUGAGGCGCGAAAGCGUGGGGAGCAAACAGGGAUUAGAUACCCUGGUAGUCCACGCCGUAAACGAUGAGUGCUAAGUGUUGGGGGGGUUUCCGCCCCCUCAGUGCUGCAGCUAACGCAUUAAGCACUCCGCCCUGGGAGUACGGUCGCAAGACUG